AGCUGGUUCGAUGGCAGUGGAUGAUCAGAACUUAUUAACAUUAGUGUCAUUAAAGUUGGUAGAUAGUCCCUCACUGCUAAAUUUGGCUUAAA
ensembl:misc_RNA Y_RNA Y RNA